rnacentral:tRNA from 1 species
UGGUUCAGAGCAUCUGGUUUACACCCAGAGGGUCGGGGGUUCGAAUCCCUCAGGGCCCACAA